GACGAACGCUGGCGGCGUGCUUAACACAUGCAAGUCGAGCGGAGCGGCGAACGGGUGAGUAACGCGUGAGUAACUGCCCCCCUCCCUGGGAUAACAGUUGGAAACGGCUGCUAAUACCGGAUAGUGUGGGAUGACUCGCGUCCUAUCAGAUUGUUGGUGGGGUAGGGGCCUACCGAGGCGACGACGGGUAGCCGGCCUGCGAGGGCGACCGGCGAAAAGGGGCUGAGAUAGGGCCCAGAGGGCUACGGGGGGCAGCAGUGGGGAAUAUUGCGCAGUGGGGCAAACCCUGAUGCAGAAACGCCGGGUGCGGGAUGACGGCUUACGGGUUGGAAACCGCUUUCAGCCAUGACGCGGUAGUGGCAGAAGAAGCACCGGCUAACUACGUGCCAGCCGCCGCGGUAAUAC
rnacentral:rRNA from 1 species